UGAGGUAGAUUUAGCAGAUUUUCCCUUGGUAAGGAGGAUGCCCAUUCAUGUUAUAGUGAAGGAAGUUAAGCCUCAAGGAUGAGCUGACCAAUGCAAUAGAAAACCCAACAAUUGAAGUGUGGAGUGUGGGGACUCUAUGUAGGCAAUACGUGCUGCUUUGCAAAUGCCAAGGUCUGUAAGCAAAAAUUAGGCCAUAUGUGAUCAGGAAGUAAGAAAAAGUAAAACAAA